CCGCCCUAGAGCUCAAUCCUCCCGCCACCGCUCGAGAGUUUGAUCCUGGCUCAGGAUGAACGCUGGCGGCGUGCCUAAUACAUGCAAGUCGAGCGAAUGGAUUAAGAGCUUGCUCUCAUGAAGUUAGCGGCGGACGGGUGAGUAACACGUGGGUAACCUGCCCAUAAGACUGGGAUAACUCCGGGAAACCGGGGCUAAUACCGGAUAACAUUUUGAACUGCAUGGUUCGAAAUUGAAAGGCGGCUUCGGCUGUCACUUAUGGAUGGACCCGCGUCGCAUUAGCUAGUUGGUGAGGUAACGGCUCACCAAGGCAACGAUGCGUAGCCGACCUGAGAGGGUGAUCGGCCACACUGGGACUGAGACACGGCCCAGACUCCUACGGGAGGCAGCAGUAGGGAAUCUUCCGCAAUGGACGAAAGUCUGACGGAGCAACGCCGCGUGAGUGAUGAAGGCUUUCGGGUCGUAAAACUCUGUUGUUAGGGAAGAACAAGUGCUAGUUGAAUAAGCUGGCACCUGACGUACUACCAGAAGUACCCU
rnacentral:rRNA from 1 species